rnacentral:rRNA from 1 species
CCCUUCGAUGUUCUGGGCCGCACGCGCGCUACACUGAUGCGUUCAGCAAGCCUUUAACCUUCACCGAUAGGUGCGGGUAAUCUUCUGAAAGCGCAUCGUGUUUGGGCUAGAUGAUUGCAAUUAUUCAUCUUCAACGAGGAAUACCUAGUAAACGCAAGUCAUCAACUUGCAUUGAUUACGUCCCUGCCCUUUGUACACACCGCCCGUCGCUCCUACCGAUCGAAGAGUUAGGUGAAUUGUUUUGAUCGAUAAGAUUUGACUAUGGUCAACUCUCGUUGUGAAAUUCUGUGAAUCUGACUGUUUAGAGGAAGGAAAAGUCGUAACA